rnacentral:rRNA from 1 species
GACGAACGCUGGCGGCGCGCUUAACACAUGCAAGUCGAGCGAAGCGGCGGACGGGUGAGUAACACGUGAGUAACCUGCCUUAGAAAUUGGGAUAGCCUCGGGAAACCGGGAUUAAUACCAAAUGGUCUAAGCUGGACUCGCGUCCCAUUAGCUAGUUGGGAGGUAAAGGCCCACCAAGGCGACGAUGGGUAGCCGGCCUGGGAGUGUGAACGGCGACUUUGGACCUGAGAAACGGUCCAAACUCUACGGGAGGCAGCAGUGGGGAAUAUUGCACAAUGGAGUGAACUCUGAUGCAGCGACGCCGCUUGAACGAAGAAGGCUUUCGAGUCGUAAAGUUCUUUUAUAUGGGAAGCGGUACCAUAAGAAAAAGCCCCGGCUAACUACGUGCCAGCAGCCGCGGUAAUAG